GACGAACGCUGGCGGCGUGCCUAAUACAUGCAAGUAGAACGCUGAAGAGAGGAGCUUGCUCUUCUUGGAUGAGUUGCGCACGGGUGAGUAACGCGUAGGUAACCUGCCUGGUAGCGGGGGAUAACUAUGGGAAACGAUAGCUAAUACCGCAUAAAAUGGAUUAUCGCAUGAUACACCAUUGAAAGGUGCAAAUGCAUCACUACCAGAUGGACCUGCGUUGUAUUAGCUAGUUGGUGGGGUAACGGCUCACCAAGGCGACGAUACAUAGCCGACCUGAGAGGGUGAUCGGCCACACUGGGACUGGGACACGGCCCAGGCUCCUACGGGGGGCAGCCGGAAGGGAUCUUCGGCAAUGGACGGAAGUCUGACCGGGCCACGCCGCGUGAGUGAAGGAGGUUUUCCGAUCGUAAAGCUCUUUUGUAAGGGAAGAACGAGUGUUGGAAUGAAAAGUUCACACUGUGACGGUAUCUUACCAGAAAGGGACGGCUAACUACGUG
rnacentral:rRNA from 1 species